UGCCAAAGACUAAUGAAAUCCAAGAAGGAUAUGCUGCUUUUGGCUGUACUUCCACGCAGUUAAGCUGGAAAAGACUACCGUUGGGCAGUGGAAGGGGGACAAUUUCAUCACAAAACAAAAAGGCGGAGGCAAUGAAAAUGGCAUCCAUUGUUGUCUUAGCUCCAGUAAUGCUGGAAUUGGGAUUUCUCAGAGCACCGCCAGUCCCUAUUCCCCCAAUUACUCGCCCAAGAUGGGUUCCGUCGUUACAGUUUACCGCUUCUUCCUCACGAUCUCAUCUCUUAUUUUCAGCAGGCGGGUACAAUAAUGGAAGGUGGUUCUAUCCAGCAAUUGCCUGCACCAGAAAAACCCAACAGGAGGAAAGUUCGUCUAUUUCUGAGGGGGAGACUGGAAGUGCACCAUCUAGAAAUGACAUAAAUGAUGUAAAGAAAUCUCACAAUAUUUCUUCUGAUGGUAAUUCACAACGAGAGGCACAAAAACCUGAAAAUUAUGUCUCUUCUGUCAGAACUGUUGCUUUAUGUGUGUUCUCAGCAGUGGCAUUUGGUGUUGCUUUAGGAUUCAAAGAUGGAGUUGACAAGGCAUCUGAGUUUUUUGCUGGGUACUUACUGGAGCAAAGUUUGUCAGUUGACAAUCUGUUUGUCUUUGUUUUGAUCUUCAAGUACUUCAAAGUUCCGCUCAUGUAUCAGAAUCGGGUGCUGUCCUACGGUAUUGCUGGUGCUAUAUUCUUCAGAUUGUCGCUGAUACUUCUUGGAACAGCCACACUUCAGAGGUUCGAGGUGGUAAACCUACUGUUGGCUGCAAUACUAUUGUACUCCGCGUUCAAGCUGUUUGCAGAGGAAGAGGAAGAUAGUGAUCUAUCUGAUAAUUUCAUAGUGAAGACAUGCCAGAAAUUCAUCCCUGUAACUUCAAAUUAUGAUGGGAACCGAUUUCUGACAAUUCAGGAUGGCGCGUGGAAAGCUACUCCUUUGCUUCUGACCGUAGCUGUUAUUGAACUCAGUGAUAUUGCAUUCGCAGUCGAUUCAAUACCAGCAGUUUUUGGAGUAACAAGAGACCCUUUUAUAGUAUUCACAUCCAACCUUUUUGCCAUUCUAGAUUUUGAGGUUAUAGCUCCCAUAUCAGUGAUGAAGAGUCACCAAGUUAUGACAUUUUUCUUUAAAGUCUCAUCUCUGUGAUCUAAUCGCAUGAGAUGAGAUAUGCGCCAUGUCUACCGAGGACUAUGACCUUUAUCUGCUUUUUGCAGGUUUAAGAUCAUUAUAUUCACUCAUUUCAGAAAGUAUGGCGGAAUUGGACUAUUUACAGCCUGCCAUUGGUGUUGUUUUGAGCUUUAUUGGAUUCAAGAUGAUCCUUGACUUCUUUGGUUACCAUGUAUCAACCGAGGUUUCGCUGGGCUUUGUUGCUACAUCGCUCAGUGCCGGAGUGUUGUUGAGUCUGCUGAAGAAGACCGAGUAGGGAGGGUGAAAAUAGAACAGCGAGAUAGUGUGAUUGCGUAGAUGUGUUGGACGUGGGUUCUGCAGCCUUUCUUGUAGAUCAGAUGAACGCUGAAAAAUUUUGAUGCUGAUCAUACAUUUACAACACUAGUUCACAAUGAAAAAUGCAAAUCAUCUAUAAUUUGUUAAAGAAUGAGAUUUCGUGUAUAAAAAUAAAUUUGUUGGUGGAUUAAACUCCUUAAAUCAUUGGAUUUGUACUUGUAGUCAUCA